rnacentral:pre_miRNA from 1 species
UUUGCAGUAUAAAUAUGUCUCAUACAGUAUUUGGGAUAUACUUAUACUUAAA